rnacentral:rRNA from 1 species
UGGGGAAUAUUGCACAAUGGGGGAAACCCUGAUGCAGCGACGCCGCGUGAACGAAGAAGGUAUUCGUAUCGUAAAGUUCUGUCCUAUGGGAAGAUAAUGACAGUACCAUAGAAGAAAGCUCCGGCUAAAUACGUGCCAGCAGCCACGGUAAUACGUAUGGAGCGAGCGUUGUCCGGAAUUAUUGGGCGUAAAGGGUACGCAGGUGGUUUAAUAAGUCGAAUGUUAAAGAUCGGGGCUCAACCCCGCAAAGCAUUGGAAACUGAUAAACUUGAGUAGUGGAGAGGAAAGUGGAAUUCCUAGUGUAGUGGUGAAAUACGUAGAUAUUAGGAGGAAUACCAGUAGCGAAGGCGACUUUCUGGACACAAACUGACGCUGAGGUACGAAAGCGUGGGGAGCAAACAGG